GGCCUGAGCUCUAAAACUACUAAAACCUGAUAAUAACGCUAAACAGGACCAUGAUAAAGUAAAGUGACUUGAUAUCUCUUAUGUGUUAAUCAGUCUAACAGUUACAAGAUGGAUGAUUUUGGGAAGGAGAAACUUGUUGAGAAGGCAUAAACCCGCAACAGGCUUUCUGGAAGAACGUCUCCGCAAUGUUUGAAAAGACUCCACUCUGGCAGACGAGGACGUUUAACAUCACAAGUGCCACAACACAGAGUCAUUUUGCCAGAACCAACUAUAACUCCAGAGAGGACCAUCAUCUGGCCCCAGUCCCAGGUCGGCCAACACAUGUUGGAGCCUACUUUCUAUUGGGCCCAGUGGAUCCGUUCUAAUGGGACCACAUCACUGCUGGACAUUAUCACAGAGGUCCCACGCUUAGUGGACUCUCCAGGCAUGAUUGCGACCAACAUGGCCGAGUACCUGAUGAGAUCCACCACAGAGCCCCAUACGUUCUAAUACUGUCUUUGUGAAUGGGGGGGGGGGCGUUGGAGCAGCCGUCUCUUUGGCUGCUGUGGACGUCGGUCUCACUCCCGUUUUUUGUGUUCUAUGUUGGUUUGCCAAAACUUGUGCUAAUGUUUGGGAGUUCAUCCAGACCACCGUGUUUCAGAGACCAGGACCUGAAUCAAACGCUGUCAAAUUAAUGCUCAGAUUGCUACUAUGUAGUUUUUUAAUUUCUAUGUAGGCUAUGGCACAUGGUCGAGUUAAAGGGCCCAGAUUCUGCACUGAAGAUAUUCAGGAACCAGAUCUCACUCAGACACCAUGGAUGGUUUUAUCGUGUGUGUGCGUAAGCACCAGAGACACAAAAUAACCCCCAAAUCCCAGAAAAAGAGAUUGUUUUUUUGGGCACUUUAA